rnacentral:tRNA from 2 species
GGAGGAGUGGCCGAGUGGUUGAAGGCAGCGGUCUUGAAAACCGCCGAGCGCAAGCUCCGGGGGUUCGAAUCCCUCCUCCUCCG